rnacentral:rRNA from 1 species
CGUCGUGAGACAGUUCGGUCCCUAUCUGCCGUGGGUGUAGGAAUAUUGAGAGGAUCUGUCCCUAGUACGAGAGGACCGGGAUGGACGUAUCUCUGGUGGACCUGUUGUGGCGCCAGCCGCAUAGCAGGGUAGCUAUAUACGGAACGGAUAACCGCUGAAGGCAUCUAAGCGGGAAACCGACCUCAAAACGAGUAUUCCCUGAGAGCCGUGGUAGACGACCACGUUGAUAGGCCGGGUGUGGAAGAGCGGCAACGCUUGAAGCUUACCGGUACUAAUAACUCGAUUGGCUUGAUUGUUCUCAUU